UUCAGGAUGAACGCUAGCUACAGGCUUAACACAUGCAAGUCGAGGGGCAUCAGGAAGAAAGCUUGCUUUCUUUGCUGGCGACCGGCGCACGGGUGAGUAACACGUAUCCAACCUGCCCUUUACUCGGGGAUAGCCUUUCGAAAGAAAGAUUAAUACCCGAUAGCAUAAUGAUUCCGCAUGGUUUCAUUAUUAAAGGAUUCCGGUAAAGGAUGGGGAUGCGUUCCAUUAGGUUGUUGGUGAGGUAACGGCCCACCAAGCCUUCGAUGGAUAGGGGUUCUGAGAGGAAGGUCCCCCACAUUGGAACUGAGACACGGUCCAAACUCCUACGGGAGGCAGCAGUGAGGAAUAUUGGUCAAUGGGCGCUAGCCUGAACCAGCCAAGUAGCGUGAAGGAUGAAGGCUCUAUGGGUCGUAAACUUCUUUUAUAUAAGAAUAAAGUGCAGUAUGUAUACUGUUUUGUAUGUAUUAUAUGAAUAAGGAUCGGCUAACUCCGUGCCAGCAGCCGCGGUAAUACGGAGGAUCCGAGCGUUAUCCGGAUUUAUUGGGUUUAAAGGGAGCGUAGGUGGACUGGUAAGUCAGUUGUGAAAGUUUGCGGCUCAACCGUAAAAUUGCAGUUGAUACUGUCAGUCUUGAGUACAGUAGAGGUGGGCGGAAUUCGUGGUGUAGCGGUGAAAUGCUUAGAUAUCACGAAGAACUCCGAUUGCGAAGGCAGCUCACUGGACUGCAACUGACACUGAUGCUCGAAAGUGUGGGUAUCAAACAGGAUUAGAUACCCUGGUAGUCCACACAGUAAACGAUGAAUACUCGCUGUUUGCGAUAUACAGUAAGCGGCCAAGCGAAAGCAUUAAGUAUUCCACCUGGGGAGUACGCCGGCAACGGUGAAACUCAAAGGAAUUGACGGGGGCCCGCACAAGCGGAGGAACAUGUGGUUUAAUUCGAUGAUACGCGAGGAACCUUACCCGGGCUUAAAUUGCAGUGGAAUGAUGUGGAAACAUGUCAGUGAGCAAUCACCGCUGUGAAGGUGCUGCAUGGUUGUCGUCAGCUCGUGCCGUGAGGUGUCGGCUUAAGUGCCAUAACGAGCGCAACCCUUAUCUUUAGUUACUAACAGGUUAUGCUGAGGACUCUAGAGAGACUGCCGUCGUAAGAUGUGAGGAAGGUGGGGAUGACGUCAAAUCAGCACGGCCCUUACGUCCGGGGCUACACACGUGUUACAAUGGGGGGUACAGAAGGCAGCUAGCGGGUGACCGUAUGCUAAUCCCAAAAUCCUCUCUCAGUUCGGAUCGAAGUCUGCAACCCGACUUCGUGAAGCUGGAUUCGCUAGUAAUCGCGCAUCAGCCACGGCGCGGUGAAUACGUUCCCGGGCCUUGUACACACCGCCCGUCAAGCCAUGGGAGCCGGGGGUACCUGAAGUACGUAACCGCAAGGAUCGUCCUAGGGUAAAACU
rnacentral:rRNA from 1 species